rnacentral:rRNA from 1 species
AUUGAACGCUGGCGGCAUGCCUAACACAUGCAAGUCGAACGAAGCCUUCGGGCUUAGUGGCGGACGGGUGAGUAACACGUGGGAACGUACCUUUUGGUUCGGAAUAACGCAGAGAAAUUUGCGCUAAUACCGAAUGAGCCCUUCGGGGGAAAGAUUUAUCGCCGAAAGAUCGGCCCGCGUUGGAUUAGGUAGUUGGUGUGGUAAAGGCGCACCAAGCCUACGAUCCAUAGCUGGUCUGAGAGGAUGAUCAGCCACACUGGGACUGAGACACGGCCCAGACUCCUACGGGAGGCAGCAGUGGGGAAUCUUGCGCAAUGGGCGAAAGCCUGACGCAGCCAUGCCGCGUGAAUGAUGAAGGUCUUAGGAUUGUAAAAUUCUUUUACCAGGGACGAUAAUGACGGUACCUGGAGAAAAAGCCCCGGCUAACUUCGUACCAGCCGCCGCCGUAACAC